rnacentral:rRNA from 1 species
CACCAGGCGCGAAAACUUUACAAUGCUGGCAACAGCGAUAAGGGGACCUCGAGUGCCAGGAUACAAUCCUGGCUGUCGUAAUGCCUAAAAAGCAUUGCAUAGCAAGGGCCGGGCAAGACCGGUGCCAGCCGCCGCGGUAACACCGGCGGCUCGAGUGGUAACCGCUAUUAUUGGGUCUAAAGGGUCUGUAGCCGGCUGACUAAGUCUCUUGGGAAAUCUGGCAGCUCAACUGUCAGGCUUUCAGGAGAUACUGAUCGGCUCGAGACCGGGAGAGGUGAGAGGUACCUCAGGGGUAGGGGUGAAAUCUUGUAAUCCUUGAGGGACCACCAGUGGCGAAGGCGUCUCACCAGAACGGAUCUGACGGCAAGGGACGAAAGCUAGGGGCACGAACCGGGUUAGAUACCCGGGUAGUCUUAGCCGUAAACGAUACUCGCUAGGUGUCGGCCACGGUGCGACCGUGGUCGGUGCCGUAGGGAAGCCGUGAAGCGAGCCACCUGGGAAGUACGGCCGCGAGGCUGAAACUUAAAGGAAUCGGCGGGGAGCACAAGGGCGAAUCGCGG